rnacentral:rRNA from 1 species
AGUUCGAUCCUGGCUCAGAUUGAACGCUGGCGGGAUGCUUUACACAUGCAAGUCGAACGGCACGGACUUCGGUCUGGUGGCGAGUGGCGAACGGGUGAGUAAUGUAUCGGAACGUGCCUAGUAGGGGGAUAACUACGCGAAAGCGUAGCUAAUACCGCAUAUUGCCCUUCGGGGGAAAGCGGGGGACCUUUCGGGCCUCGCACUAUUAGAGCGGCCGAUAUCGGAUUAGCUAGUUGGUGGGGUAACGGCUCACCAAGGCGACGAUCCGUAGCUGGUUUGAGAGGACGACCAGCCACACUGGGACUGAGACACGGCCCAGACUCCUACGGAGGCAGCAGUGGGGAAUUUUGACAAUGGGGAAACCUGAUCCAGCCAUCCCGCGUGUGCGAUGAAGGCCUUCGGGUUGUAAAGCACUUUUGGCAGGAAAGAAACGGCACGGGAUAAUACCCCGUGCAACUGACGGUACCUGCAGAAUAAGCACCGGCUAACUACGUGCCAGCAGCCGCGGUAAUACGUAGGGUGCAAGCGUUAAUCGGAAUUACAAGCCAGCGAAGCGUGCGCAGGCGGUUCGGAAAAGAAAGAUGUGAAAUCCCAGAGCUUAACUUUGGAACUGCAUUUUUAACUACCGAGCUAGAGUGUGUCAGAGGGAGGUGGAAUUCCGCGUGUAGCAGUGAAAUGCGUAGAUAUGCGGAGGAACACCGAUGGCGAAGGCAGCAGCCUCCUGGGAUAACACUGACGCUCAUGCACGAAAGCGUGGGAGCAAACAGGAUUAGAUACUCCUGGUAGUCCACGCCCUAAACGAUGUCAACUUAGCUGUUGGGGCCUCGGGCCUGGUAGCGCAGCUAACGCGUGAAGUUGACCGCCUGGGGAGUACGGUCGCAAGAUUAAAACCUCAAAGGAAUUGAUGGGACCCCGCACAAGCGGUGGAUGAUGUGGAUUAAUCUGAUGCAACGCGAAAAACCUUACCUACCCUUGACAUGUCUGGAUUUCCGAAGAGAUUUGGGAGUGCUCGCAAGAGAACCGGAACACAGGUGCUGCAUGGCUGUCGUCAGCUCGUGUCGUGAGAUGUUGGGUUAAGUCCCGCAACGAGCGCAACCUUGUCAUUAGUUGCUACGAAAGGGCACUCUAAUGAGACUGCCGGUGACAAACCGGAGGAAGGUGGGGAUGACGUCAAGUCCUCAUGGCCCUUAUGGGUAGGGCUUCACACGUCAUACAAUGGUCGGGACAGAGGGUCGCCAACCCGCGAGGGGGAGCCAAUCCCAGAAACCCGAUCGUGGUCCGGAUCGCAGUCUGCAACUCGACUGCGUGAAGUCGGAAUCGCUAGUAAUCGCGGAUCAGCAUGUCGCGGUGAAUACGUUCCCGGUCUUGUACACACCGCCCGUCACACCAUGGGGAGUGGGUUUUACCAGAAGUAGUUAGCCUAACCGUAAGGAGGGCGAUUACCACGGUAGGAUUCAUGACUGGGGUGAAGUCGUAACAAGGUAA